rnacentral:rRNA from 1 species
CCUACGGGAGGCAGCAGUGAGGAAUAUUGGUCAAUGGACGAGAGUCUGAACCAGCCAAGUAGCGUGAAGGAUGACUGCCCUAUGGGUUGUAAACUUCUUUUAUAUGGGAAUAAAACGUUCCACGUGUGGGAUUUUGUAUGUACCAUAUGAAUAAGGAUCGGCUAACUCCGUGCCAGCAGCCGCGGUAAUACGGAGGAUCCGAGCGUUAUCCAGAUUUAUUGGGUUUAAAGGGAGCGUAGGUGGAUUGUUAAGUCAGUUGUGAAAGUUUGCGGCUAAACCGUAAAAUUGCAGUUGAAACUGGCAGUCUUGAGUACGGUAGAGGUGGGCGGAAUUCGUGGUGUAGCGGUGAAAUGCUUAGAUAUCACGAAGAACUCCGAUUGCGAAGGCAGUUCACUGGACUGCAACUGACACUGAGGCUCGAAAGUGUGGGUAUCAAACAGGAUUAGAUACCCUAGUAGUC